UACGAAGGGGGCUAGCGUUGUUCGGAAUCACUGGGCGUAAAGCGCACGUAGGCGGACUGUUAAGUCAGGGGUGAAAGCCCGGAGCUCAACUCCGGAAUUGCCUUUGAUACUGGCAGUCUCGAGUCAAGGAGAGGUUGGUGGAACUCCGAGUGUAGAGGUGAAAUUCGUAGAUAUUCGGAAGAACACCAGUGGCGAAGGCGGCCAACUGGCCUUGUACUGACGCUGAGGCACGAAAGCGUGGGGAGCGAACAGG
rnacentral:rRNA from 1 species